UACGGAGGGUCCAAGCGUUAUCCGGAAUCAUUGGUUAAAGGGUCCGUAGGCGGUUUUGUAAGUCAGUGGUGAAAGCCCAUCGCUCAACGGUGGAACGGCCAUUGAUACUGCAAGACUUGAAUUAUUGUGAAGUAACUAGAAUAUGUAGUGUAGCGGUGAAAUGCUUAGAGAUUACAUGGAAUACCAAUUGCGAAGGCAGGUUACUAACAAUAUAUUGACGCUGAUGGACGAAAGCGUGGGUAGCGAACAGG
rnacentral:rRNA from 1 species